rnacentral:rRNA from 1 species
UACGUAGGGGGCAAGCGUUAUCCGGAAUUACUGGGCGUAAAGCGCACGCAGGCGGUUCGCCAAGUUUGGAGUGACAGUUGUCGGCUCAACCCGGACAAAGGACUUCAAAAACUGGUGAACUUGAGGACGAGAGAGGAACGAUGGAACUCCAGGUGUAGUAGGUGAAAUGCGUAGAUAUCUGGAAGAACACCAAUGGCGAAGGCAAUGGUUCUGGCUCGUUUCUGACGCUCAGGUGCGAAAGCCAGGGGAGCGAACGGG